rnacentral:tRNA from 1 species
GGCCGCGUGGCGGAGUGGUGACGCAGCGGAUUGCAAAUCCGUGUACCCCGGUUCGAUUCCGGGCGCGGCCUCCA